GGUCCGUUAACGUAGUGGUUAGUACACUCGAUUUUAGUAGUUUUUAUAGCCAGUUAAACUGGUUAUAAAGGCCUAUUUUUAAGCUGGUUUAUCCUGAUAAAAGGGCGUGGGUUCAAAUCCCACAUAGGUCA